rnacentral:rRNA from 1 species
UACAGAGGUCUCAAGCGUUGUUCGGAUUCAUUGGGCGUAAAGGGUGCGUAGGUGGCGCCGUAAGUCAGGUGUGAAAUUUCGGAGCUUAACUCCGAAACUGCAUUUGAUACUGCGGUGCUUGAGGACUGGAGAGGAGACUGGAAUUCACGGUGUAGCAGUGAAAUGCGUAGAUAUCGUGAGGAAGACCAGUGGCGAAGGCGGGUCUCUGGACAGUUCCUGACACUGAGCCACGAAGGCCAGGGGAGCAAACGGG